UCACUUUUCCCUUCGUUCGUCAGUUCCUCUUUCUCUCUCUUCCGCCUCUCUUCCUCCAUCACACUCUCACACAGGCACAUCGCACAUAGAUCGAACUCCGAUAUGACCAGAUCAGACACCGAUCAAGACACCAAAUGGUUCUAUAUGGAAGUCGUCAUCACCGGCGCUAUCAACAAGUGAUGGGUUCGUCAACACCGUCUUCUGGAUCCAGACCAUUCUCGGCCGAAGCUUAGGUCAGGUACAGGGCCGACGAGAUCGGAAGAGUUCGGCAUCCCCGAUGAAUAUCUUCGGUCAAAGAUCUUAAGAUAAUCGAACAGGUAUUGAAGGCUGUCAACGUUCUGAAUAGCAAGUGGAGGAAGCCAGAUGAGUUGGUUUACAUUGCUACCUAUGAUAUUCUUUUCAGCCAGAGAUAUCAAAACCUCAGUGUAAUACUCUGAAAAUUGAUGACAAUAUGGCCUUUAUUGGUUACAGAAACAAUACAAGGAAAAUGUGAAGACAAAAAUUGUAUUUAGGCCAAAUGUUUCUAUGGCGUUGUUCUUUCAAUACAACACUGCUUUGGGGGCCACCUUACCAGGUUUUGGUAGAUACCAACUUUUAUCAAUUUCUCUAUCCAGAAUAAGUUGGAAAAUGUGAAGAGAAUUACAGACUGCCCCCAUAUGCAAAAUGUACUCCUGGUAUCACAGAUUAUGUAAUGGCAGAGCUUGAAAAGUUGGGUCAGAAAUAUCGUGUGGCUCUGAGGUUGUCCGUAUCAAAGGAGCUGCAGCUAUGGGAUGAAGAGUCUUGAUGUUUGUAUUUUGAUGGGUGCAUCUGUAAAUUCCUAGUUAGUAUAUUUAUUGUAUGAUACAUUUUAAAAUAUAGUACAGGGUACAAUACAAGAAUGUAGAGGUGCCAAUUGGCACCUUAUUUUUUUUAAUCCAACCUCAUAAAUUUGCCACUGAUAUCAGUGGCAUUCCAAAGCCACUAAUAUCAGUGUGAAUUUAGAUUC